GGAUGUAGUUCAGUUGGUAGCAUGCUUGCCUUGCAUGCACAAGGCCCUGGGUUCAAUUCUCAGCACCA
rnacentral:tRNA from 1 species